rnacentral:tRNA from 1 species
GCUCACGUAGCUUAGCUAAAGCAUGACACUGAAGAUGUUAAGACAAACCCUAGAGUGGUUUCGUAGGCA